rnacentral:rRNA from 1 species
UGGGGAAUUUUCCGCAAUGGGCGGAAGCCUGACGGAGCAAUGCCGCGUGGAGGUGGAAGGCCUACGGGUCGUCAACUUCUUUUCUCGGAGAAGAAACAAUGACGGUAUCUGAGGAAUAAGCAUCGGCUAACUCUGUGCUAG